UCCCACUGGGCUGUUCCCAGAGCCCAGAGAGGUUAUACAUAUAAGCUAUGUCAAGUCUAAACAUUUCCUACUCGAUGUAUAGUCUCUGGAUCAGCAGCAGCAGCAGCACGGGAACUGUUAGAAAUGCAGAAUCUUGGGUCCUCUCAGACCUACUGAAUCAGGAUCUGAAUUCUGACCUCAUCCCAGAGGAUUCGUUUGCACACUGCAGUGACAGAAGCGUGGAUCUAAAGAAUGAUGAUGAGCUGUGACUCAUCAGCACACCAGGCAGAGGUAGACCUGAGACCGGAGGGGCCACAGCACAGUCAUCUUUCCUGCGUCCAGAACAAACCCGACACAGAGCACAGGCACACGGGGUGCUAGGCGGGGAACAUGCACUCCCCCCCGAAAGCCGAGCUGCAGCGGGUUGAAGCCUUUGUCGUCUUCUGGUAUCAAAGCACGAGGGAUGAGGAUGGGGGAAGGACUCCAGGUGACAGCUCUGCAGGUCAGAGGUCCGAGAUCAGUUUCACUGGGUGAAAGUCAAGGUGAAGGCUUCCAGCGGCCACCUGCGCACCUGGGCUCAUGGCUCCAUCCUCCACCUUCCAAGCUCAUCUCUGGUUUCUGCCUCUGCCUCCACAUGGCUUUCUCCUAUCCUGUCAUCACACCUCCUCUGCCUCCUUCUUAGAAGAACGCUCAAGCUUACAUGUAGGGCCAACCAGGGUGAUUCAGGAUAACCUCUCCAUCUCAAGAUCCUUAACACAAUCAUAUCUACAAACUCCCUUUUGCAAACACUCACAGGUUCCAGGAAUUAGGACCUGAGUAUCUUCAGGGCCAUUACCCAGCCUACCACAUGACACAUCCGAGAUGGGUUGGGAGCAAAAGGGCAACCAUGAUCCAGCUGCACCCCACAGAUCUCCCAUGGGUCUGAGAUAGGGGUAUCCUCUAGGUCAUGGUGGGACCUCUGCGGCAACCCCAGAAGAGCCCAUGACACAUCUCUCUUCAGCCAUGAGGCAGCACAUGAACACAGUGCUACUGAGCAGCAAAGACAUGUUAUAUAAUCAGUUAAUCAUGUAUUAACAAACAUGUGUUCAACACCUACUGUGUUCCAUGGGGGGCGAUUCAGACCUAGGGCCCUCCUGGGUUUUCCAACUAGGAGAUUCAUUCAACAAUACUUACUGAGUCCCUGCUAGGUGUCAGGCACUGUUCUGGGUACUUGGGAUAUAUCAGUAGACAAAACCCCCAAGCUCCCCGCCCUCAAGGUUACUGACAUUCUACCAGUGGAGAUGGACAAUUAGGAAUCAUCAUAAGUCAAUCACAUAGUAUGUUAGGAGGUGAUGGGGCUGUGGAACAAAAGACAAAGUGGGCCAGGUAAGAGGGGUCAGGUGUGCCAAGGUGGGGACAGGGAGGAGAGGGUAGUAAGAAGAUAGUCAGGAUAGACCUCAUUGAACAGGUGAGGUUUAGGCAAAGACCUGAGGGGGAAUUAGCCAAGUGGACAUCUGGGAAGAGAGAGCUCCUGGGAGAGCAAAGAGCUAGAGCGAAGGUUCUAAGGUGGAGUGGACAAAGUGAUGGGAAGGUCAUAGCAGGUGAACACAGGGAACAGGAGCUCGGCGGGCUACCUCUGUGGAGCCAGCCAGGCCAAACCUAAAGAGAAGAGAAGACGGCGUAAAACAAGGUCUCUAAACCGCUGGUAUGGACUCGGGAAAAUCCUCUGAACUGGGAGCUAGCUCUGGGGUUGGGAGUUGCAUGGCCUUGCUGAAGUCACUUAGCCUCCCUGAGAUUCACGUUCCUCACUUACAGACUGAGAAGCUUGUGUGGAUUCUCUCACUCCUCCGUUCAUUCAGCGGACUCCAUCAAGCACAGAGGAGGAGGCCCCAGGCAGAUGGGAGACACUGCAGAUCCUAAGAUGCUGGGCUUGAAGAUGGAUUUAGGAAUCCACAAAUGCCCUUCCUGAGUUUGAGCCCCUUCAAGACCUCAGCCUGGACGCCUGGGGACAGCCUGGUUCUUCUUGCCUUGUCCUGCUGUCAAGCCUGGAUGUACUCGUUCUGGAGUGGAGGUGCCUAGUUUCUCCUAUUGUACCGUGUGUCCUCAUCUCCAUUCCUCCAAAAGGAAUUCCUGGAGAUGAUUUUCCCUGUUUUAUCUGGCUUGUGCAGUGAGGAAGCACAUGACUUCAGAGAAGGGGAGCCCAAUCUCCUUGAGCUGGACCAAGCAUUCCGGCACCAAACUCUGGCUAAUAGCCAUCCAAAGGGACUCCAUCAGUGAGUGUUAAAUGCUAAUGCAGGUUUCAUCAUGCACACGAAUAAGGGGGGAAAUCCAGACAAAACCAAAAAGGACUCGGCCCUGACCAAGGUGAUUUUUUUUUUAACCAUGACAACUGAGAAAAUUCUUCUUUCCCACAGUGUUCCCAGCCUAUGCCACACUUAAAUCCAACUGGAAAUGGAAUUGAAAGGAAUAAAAAUAUUUGUGGUUGAA